GGGUUGUGAGGUUAAGCGACUAAGCGUACACGGUGGAUGCCCUGGCAGUCAGAGGCGAUGAAGGGCGUGCUAAUCUGCGAUAAGCGCCGGUAAGGUGAUAUGAACCGUUAUAACCGGCGAUACCCGAAUGGGGAAACCCAGUGUGAUUCGUCACACUAUCAUUAACUGAAUCCAUAGGUUAAUGAGGCGAACCGGGGGAACUGAAACAUCUAAGUACCCCGAGGAAAAGAAAUCAACCGAGAUUCCCCCAGUAGCGGCGAGCGAACGGGGAGGAGCCCAGAGCCUGAAUCAGCAUGUGUGUUAGUGGAAGCGUCUGGAAAGGCGCGCGAUACAGGGUGACAGCCCCGUACACAAAAAGCGCAUGUGCUGUGAGCUCGAUGAGUAGGGCGGGACACGUGGUAUCCUGUCUGAAUAUGGGGGGACCAUCCUCCAAGGCUAAAUACUCCUGACUGACCGAUAGUGAACCAGUACCGUGAGGGAAAGGCGAAAAGAACCCCGGCGAGGGGAGUGAAAAAGAACCUGAAACCGUGUACGUACAAGCAGUGGGAGCACAGGUUUACCUGUGUGACUGCGUACCUUUUGUAUAAUGGGUCAGCGACUUAUAUUCUGUAGCAAGGUUAACCGAAUAGGGGAGCCGGAGGGAAACCGAGUCUUAAUUGGGCGUUAAGUUGCAGGGUAUAGACCCGAAACCCGGUGAUCUAGCCAUGGGCAGGUUGAAGGUUGGGUAACACUAACUGGAGGACCGAACCGACUAAUGUUGAAAAAUUAGCGGAUGACCUGUGGCUGGGGGUGAAAGGCCAAUCAAACCGGGAGAUAGCUGGUUCUCCCCGAAAGCUAUUUAGGUAGCGCCUCGUGAAUUCAUCUCCGGGGGUAGAGCACUGUUUCGGCUGGGGGCCAUCCCGGCUUACCAACCCGAUGCAAACUGCGAAUACCGGAGAAUGUUAUCACGGGAGACACACGGCGGGUGCUAACGUCCGUCGUGAAGAGGGAAACAACCCAGACCGCCAGCUAAGGUCCCAAAGUCAUGGUUAAGUGGGAAACGAUGUGGGAAGGCCCAGACAGCCAGGAUGUUGGCUUAGAAGCAGCCAUCAUUUAAAGAAAGCGUAAUAGCUCACUGGUCGAGUCGGCCUGCGCGGAAGAUGUAACGGGGCUAAACCAUGCACCGAAGCUGCGGCAGCGAACGUAUCACCCAAGACAACUUUACGGAGUUGACGAUUGACGGAGCGAAGCGACGUCAAAGCGUUCAUUAAAGUCGAGUUGGCUUAGGGAUACGUUCGUUGGGUAGGGAGCGUUCUGUAAGCCUGUGAAGGUGUGUCGUGAGGCAUGCUGGAGGUAUCAGAAGUGCGAAUGCUGACAUAAGUAACGAUAAAGCGGGUGAAAAGCCCGCUCGCCGGAAGACCAAGGGUUCCUGUCCAACGUUAAUCGGGGCAGGGUGAGUCGACCCCUAAGGCGAGGCCGAAAGGCGUAGUCGAUGGGAAACGGGUUAAUAUUCCCGUACUUGGUGUUACUGCGAAGGGGGACGGAGAAGGCUAUGUUGGCCGGGCGACGGUUGUCCCGGUUUAAGCGUGUAGGUGUGUGUUCCGGUAAAUCCGGUUCACUUUAACACUGAGGCGUGACGACGAGGCACUACGGUGCUGAAGCAACAAAUGCCCUGCUUCCGGGGAAAAGCCUCUAAGCAUCAGGUAACACGAAAUCGUACCCCAAACCGACACAGGUGGUCAGGUAGAGAAUACCAAGGCGCUUGAGAGAACUCGGGUGAAGGAACUAGGCAAAAUGGUGCCGUAACUUCGGGAGAAGGCACGCUGACACGUAGGUGAAGUGAUUUACUCAUGGAGCUGAAGUCAGUCGAAGAUACCAGCUGGCUGCAACUGUUUAUUAAAAACACAGCACUGUGCAAACACGAAAGUGGACGUAUACGGUGUGACGCCUGCCCGGUGCCGGAAGGUUAAUUGAUGGGGUCAGCGUAAGCGAAGCUCCUGAUCGAAGCCCCGGUAAACGGCGGCCGUAACUAUAACGGUCCUAAGGUAGCGAAAUUCCUUGUCGGGUAAGUUCCGACCUGCACGAAUGGCGUAAUGAUGGCCAGGCUGUCUCCACCCGAGACUCAGUGAAAUUGAACUCGCUGUGAAGAUGCAGUGUACCCGCGGCAAGACGGAAAGACCCCGUGAACCUUUACUAUAGCUUGACACUGAACAUUGAGCCUUGAUGUGUAGGAUAGGUGGGAGGCUUUGAAGUGUGGACGCCAGUCUGCAUGGAGCCGACCUUGAAAUACCACCCUUUAAUGUUUGAUGUUCUAACGUGGACCCGUAAUCCGGGUUGCGGACAGUGUCUGGUGGGUAGUUUGACUGGGGCGGUCUCCUCCUAAAGAGUAACGGAGGAGCACGAAGGUUGGCUAAUCCCCGGUCGGACAUCAGGAGGUUAGUGCAAUGGCAUAAGCCAGCUUGACUGCGAGCGUGACGGCGCGAGCAGGUGCGAAAGCAGGUCAUAGUGAUCCGGUGGUUCUGAAUGGAAGGGCCAUCGCUCAACGGAUAAAAGGUACUCCGGGGAUAACAGGCUGAUACCGCCCAAGAGUUCAUAUCGACGGCGGUGUUUGGCACCUCGAUGUCGGCUCAUCACAUCCUGGGGCUGAAGUAGGUCCCAAGGGUAUGGCUGUUCGCCAUUUAAAGUGGUACGCGAGCUGGGUUUAGAACGUCGUGAGACAGUUCGGUCCCUAUCUGCCGUGGGCGCUGGAGAACUGAGGGGGGCUGCUCCUAGUACGAGAGGACCGGAGUGGACGCAUCACUGGUGUUCGGGUUGUCAUGCCAAUGGCACUGCCCGGUAGCUAAAUGCGGAAGAGAUAAGUGCUGAAAGCAUCUAAGCACGAAACUUGCCCCGAGAUGAGUUCUCCCUGAGACUUAGAGUCUCCUGAAGGAACGUUGAAGACGACGACGUUGAUAGGCCGGGUGUGUAAGCGCAGCGAUGCGUUGAGCUAACCGGUACUAAUGAACCGUGAGGCUUAACCUUACAACGCCGAAG
rnacentral:rRNA from 1 species